AAUAUUGCACAAUGGGCGAAAGCCUGAUGCAGCCAUCCCGCGUGUGCGAUGAAGGCCUUCGGGUUGUAAAGCACUUUUGUCAGGGAAGAAAAGGUUCUGGCUAAUACCCGGAACUGAUGACGGUACCUGAAGAAGAAGCACCGGCUCACUACGUGCCAGAAGCCGCGGUAAUACGUAUGGUGCAAGCGUUAAUCGGAAUUAUUGGGCGUAAAGCUUGCGCAGGCGGUUCGGAAAGAAUGAUGUGAAAUCCCAAGGCUCAACCUUGGAACUGCAUUCUUAACUACCGAACUAGAGUAUGACAGAGGGGGGUAGAAUUCCGCGUGUAGCAGUGAAAUGCGUAGAUAUGCGGAGGAAUACCGAUGGCGAAGGCAGCCCCCUGGGAUAAUACUGACGCUCAUGCACGAAAGCGUGGGUAGCAAACAGG
rnacentral:rRNA from 1 species